CGCCUGGGGAGUGCGGCCGCAAGGUUAAAACUCAAAUGAAUUGACGGGGGCCCGCACAAGCGGUGGAGCAUGUGGUUUAAUUCGACGCAACGCGAAGAACCUUACCUGGCCUUGACAUCCAGAGAACUUUCCAGAGAUGGAUUGGUGCCUUCGGGAACUCUGAGACAGGUGCUGCAUGGCCGUCGUCAGCUCGUGUCGUGAGAUGUUGGGUUAAGUCCCGUAACGAGCGCAACCCCUAUCCCUGGUUGCUAGCAGGUAAUGCUGAGAACUCCAGGGAGACUGCCGGUGACAAACCGGAGGAAGGUGGGGAUGACGUCAGGUCAUCAUGGCCCUUACGGCCAGGGCUACACACGUGCUACGAUGGCGCGUACAGAGGGCUGCCAACUCGCGAGAGUGAGCCAAUCCCUUAAAACGCGUCGUAGUCCGGAUCGGAGUCUGCAACUCGACUCCGUGAAGUCGGAAUCGCUAGUAAUCGCGAAUCAGAAUGUCGCGGUGAAUACGUUCCCGGGCCUUGUACACACCGCCCGUCACACCAUGGGAGUGGAUUGCACCAGAAGUAGUUAGUCUAACCUUCGGGAGGACGAUUACCACGGUGUGGCUCAUGACUGGGGUGAAGUCGUAACAAGGUAACCGUA
rnacentral:rRNA from 1 species